GUCUAAGUAUAAGCAACUAUACGGUGAAACUGCGAAUGGCUCAUUAAAUCAGUUAUCGUUUAUUUGAUAGUACCUUACUACAUGGAUAACCGUGGUAAUUCUAGAGCUAAUACAUGCUAAAAACCUCGACUUCGGAAGGGGUGUAUUUAUUAGAUAAAAAACCAAUGCCCUUCGGGGCUCCUUGGUGAAUCAUAAUAACUUAACGAAUCGCAUGGCCUUGCGCCGGCGAUGGUUCAUUCAAAUUUCUGCCCUAUCAACUUUCGAUGGUAGGAUAGUGGCCUACCAUGGUAUCAACGGGUAACGGGGAAUUAGGGUUCGACUCCGGAGAGGGAGCCUGAGAAACGGCUACCACAUCCAAGGAAGGCAGCAGGCGCGCAAAUUACCCAAUCCCGACACGGGGAGGUAGUGACAAUAAAUACUGAUACAGGGCUCUUUUGGGUCUUGUAAUUGGAAUGAGUACAAUUUAAAUCCCUUAACGAGGAACAAUUGGAGGGCAAGUCUGGUGCCAGCAGCCGCGGUAAUUCCAGCUCCAAUAGCGUAUAUUAAAGUUGUUGCAGUUAAAAAGCUCGUAGUUGAACCUUGGGCCUGGCUGGCCGGUCCGCCUCACCGCGUGUACUGGUCCGGCCGGGCCUUUCCUUCUGGGGAACCUCAUGCCCUUCACUGGGCGUGCUGGGGAACCAGGACUUUUACUUUGAAAAAAUUAGAGUGUUCAAAGCAGGCCUUUGCUCGAAUACAUUAGCAUGGAAUAAUAGAAUAGGACGUGUGGUUCUAUUUUGUUGGUUUCUAGGACCGCCGUAAUGAUUAAUAGGGAUAGUCGGGGGCAUCAGUAUUCAAGCGUCAGAGGUGAAAUUCUUGGAUUGCUUGAAGACUAACUACUGCGAAAGCAUUUGCCAAGGAUGUUUUCAUUAAUCAGUGAACGAAAGUUAGGGGAUCGAAGACGAUCAGAUACCGUCGUAGUCUUAACCAUAAACUAUGCCGACUAGGGAUCGGGCGGUGUUAGUAUUUUGACCCGCUCGGCACCUUACGAGAAAUCAAAGUUUUUGGGUUCUGGGGGGAGUAUGGUCGCAAG
rnacentral:rRNA from 2 species